UGGGGAAUUUUGGACAAUGGGCGCAAGCCUGAUCCAGCAAUGCCGCGUGAGUGAAGAAGGCCUUCGGGUUGUAAAGCUCUUUUGUCAGGGAAGAAACGGUGAGCUCUAAUACAGUUUGCUAAUGACGGUACCUGAAGAAUAAGCACCGGCUAACUACGUGCCAGCAGCCGCGGUAAUACGUAGGGUGCAAGCGUUAAUCGGAAUUACUGGGCGUAAAGCGUGCGCAGGCGGUUAUGUAAGUCAGAUGUGAAAUCCCCGGGCUCAACCUGGGAAUGGCAUUUGAGACUGCAUGGCUAGAGUGUGUCAGAGGGGGGUAGAAUUCCACGUGUAGCAGUGAAAUGCGUAGAGAUGUGGAGGAAUACCGAUGGCGAAGGCAGCCCCCUGGGAUAACACUGACGCUCAUGCACGAAAGCGUGGGGAGCAAACAGG
rnacentral:rRNA from 1 species